rnacentral:rRNA from 1 species
UACGUAGGGGGCAAGCGUUGUCCGGAAUUACUGGGCGUAAAGCGUGUGUAGGCGGUCCACUAAGUCGGGUGUGAAAGCCCUGGGCUCAACCCAGGAAGUGCACUCGAAACUGGCGGGCUAGAGUAUCGGAGAGGUUGGUGGAAUUCUCGGUGUAGAGGUGAAAUUCGUAGAUAUCGAGAGGAACACCGGUGGCGAAGGCGGCCAACUGGACGAAUACUGACGCUGAGACACGAAAGCGUGGGGAGCAAACAGG